CUGUCAAUCAUAGCCAGGGGAGGUGUGGCUAGGGCUGCAUAAACAGAAACAAAGUGAUUUAACUCCUAAAUGACAGUGAAUUGAGCAGUGAAAUUGCAGGGGAAUGAUCUAUACACUAAAACUGCUUUAUUUAGCUAAAGUCAUUUAGGUGACUAUAGUGUUCCUUUAACAGAUUACCUCUGAUUACCCUGGGAGCAGUUCGAGAUUCACUCAUGCUCAGUAUCCCAUUGCUCCAGAUAGAUUAACUCUUCUCUACAAAGGGUAUUCUUAAUGGUCACUUUGUUAUGCAGAGAGUUUAGGUGUAAUCUAAACUGGGCCCCCAAUGCUAUACAUGACAUGAAGGUUUUAUAUUUAUCACCUUUCUGUUCCACUCAUCCAUGUUUGGUGUCUGAUGAUCAAACCCUCUUUUAAUUUAUUUUUUUUAAGGAACACUCCAAGCAUCAUAAUCAUUCAGCACACUAUAGUGGUUAUGGGGCCAGAGUGCCAGAG